AUAAUAUGAUUAAAGGGUCAAAAGGUAUCAUCGAUGCAUGCUUGCAUGCAAUUCGAUGUAUACCUUAGUGACCCGCACUACACUGAGAAAGUAGCAAUUUACUAUGCGAAGCUAGUAAAUUAGCGGAUUUCGAGGUGGAGUCAGAUUACGGGAAUGCGGAGCAUGGAGUAAUCUGAUUAAUCAUAAAU
rfam:Human gut metagenome DNA, contig sequence: F1-S_005865.